rnacentral:piRNA from 1 species
UGAAGCGUUGGUUGUGUGACAUGUGGUCAUC